rnacentral:tRNA from 1 species
AGGGUAAUAGCUCAGUGGUAGAGUGCACUCUUAGCAUGCAGGAGGUCUGGGUUCAAUUCCCACUAUCUCUA